rnacentral:rRNA from 1 species
AGCGAACGCUGGCGGCAGGCCUAACACAUGCAAGUCGAACGAGCUCUUCGGAGUUAGUGGCGGACGGGUGAGUAACACGUGGGAACGUGCCUUUAGGUUCGGAAUAACUCAGGGAAACUUGUGCUAAUACCGAAUGUGCCCUUCGGGGGAAAGAUUUAUCGCCUUUAGAGCGGCCCGCGUCUGAUUAGCGAGUUGGUGAGGUAAAGGCUCACCAAGGCGACGAUCAGUAGCUGGUCUGAGAGGAUGAUCAGCCACAUUGGGACUGAGACACGGCCCAAACUCCUACGGGAGGCAGCAGGGGGGAAUCUUGCGCAAUGGGCGAAAGCCUGACGCAGCCAUGCCGCGUGAAUGAUGGAGGUCUUAGGAUUGUAAAAUUCUUUCACCGGGGACGAUAAUGACGGUACCCGGAGAAGAAGCCCCGGCUAACUUCGUGCCAGCAGCCGCCGUAA